CCUACGGGAGGCAGCAGUGAGGAAUAUUGGUCAAUGGACGAGAGUCUGAACCAGCCAAGUAGCGUGAAGGCUGACUGCCCUGUGGGUUGUAAACUUCUUUUAUAAAGGAAUAAAACGAGGCACGUUUGCCUUUCUGCAUGUACUUUAUGAAUAAGGAUCGGCUAACUCCGUGCCAGCAGCCGCGGUAAUACGGAGGAUCCGAGCGUUAUCCGGAUUUGAUGGGUUUAAAGGGAGCGUAGAUGGGUUUGUAAGUCAGUUGUGAAAGUUUGCGGCUCAACCGUAAAAUUGCAAUUGAUACUGGCAGUCUUGAGUACAGUUGAGGUAGGCGGAAUUCGUGGUGUAGCGGUGAAAUGCUUAGAUAUCACGAAGAACCCCGAUUGCGAAGGCAGCUUACUAAACUGUGACUGACAUUGAUGCUCGAAAGUGUGGGUAUCAAACAGGAUUAGAUACCCCUGUAGUC
rnacentral:rRNA from 1 species